AAGGCCUAUGGGGGUUUCCUUGCCAUUACAAUUAUGCCAGUGACUCUGUUAUCGUGACAUCCUCCACAAAACCAGACUUUUUCAGGUGUUUUACAUGCACCCACCUUCCAUCCCAAUCUUGCCAUCACCAUCCUUAUCGCCUGCAGCCAUCAGAGUCUUGGUCUCAGCUACAGUCAGCUCCCUUGCCCCCGGAGAGAAAUUCUGAAGGAACAGUCUGACGGGUGCACAAAAAAUAUCAGAGAUAAGUUCAGACUUAUAUCAUCAUAGACUGUAUAUUUUAUGAUGCCAUUUUCUUUUCCCCUCUAGGCUUUUCUGAGCAUUCAAUCCCCCUCCACAUCACUCACUCACCAGCACUUCCCCACAUGUAUUACUGAAUUCAUUCACAGCGAGAAUGCUGCUCCAUUCAUACAGUGACCUCUGCCUGUGGGCUAUCACAACAGAAUUUCAAUGUAGAUGUAGCACACAUGCACAAACACACUCACAGGCCCAUCUCUAUCAUUGCUCUAGCCCUUAAACCACACACACAAUCCUUACUUGAGCUCCUCCUCCUCAAUGUAUCCACUCCUGUCUUGGUCCAGGACUGUAAAGACUUUUUCCCCAUCUGCCUCAGAUAAGCCAGUCAGUCCCACUUGUGCAAAGAACGACUUGAAGUUGAAUGUGCCUGGAGCUACAUAGGCAGAAAGAAUGAAAGAUGAAGAGAGCAAGAGAGACAGACAUAUGUGGGAGUGAGAGGUCAAUCACAGAAUGAAAAGAAAGCAAAAGUGGUGAGGGACUGAAUAGAGAUGUCGCAUUUACUCAUUCGCUCAGAUGAUUUUCAUUUUUCAACCAAUGACAUUUACCAAUAUACACCCUGUAGCGUCUUAUACCAUUAUAGGCUAGGCACACUAUAUGUCAAUUUGCCAUUGAAACAGUCAAAGCACACUGAAUAUUGCCCAUGGGCCGAAGGCAAACCUAAAUGUUAAAAGCCCUUUAUUCAUCAAGCUGUUCAAAGUGGAAAUUCUGAUCUACUGUAGGAAGAGUUAAGGAUCUGAUGAAUAAGACUUGCAGCCACAGUAUGAUAAAUGAUUGAUUUA